rnacentral:rRNA from 1 species
AAUGAACGCUGGCGGCAGGCCUAACACAUGCAAGUCGAACGGAUCCUUCGGGAUUAGUGGCGGACGGGUGAGUAACGCGUGGGAACAUACCCAAAGGUACGGAAUAGCCCCGGGAAAAUGGGAGUAAUACCGUAUGUGCUCGCAAGAGGAAAGAUUUAUCGCCUUUGGAUUGGCCCGCGUUGGAUUAGGUAGUUGGUGGGGUAAUGGCCUACCAAGCCGACGGUCCAUAGCUGGUUUGAGAGGAUGAUCAGCCACACUGGGACUGAGACACGGCCCAGACUCCUACGGGAGGCAGCAGUGGGGAAUCUUAGACAAUGGGGGAAACCCUGAUCUAGCCAUGCCGCGUGAUCGAUGAAGGCCUUAGGGUUGUAAAGAUCUUUCAGGUGGGAAGAUAAUGACUGUACCACCAGAAGAAGCCCCGGCUAACUCCGUGCCAGCCGCCGCCGUAA